rnacentral:rRNA from 1 species
AUUGAACGCUGGCGGCAUGCUUUACACAUGCAAGUCGAACGGUAACAGGCCGCAAGGUGCUGACGAGUGGCGAACGGGUGAGUAAUGCAUCGGAACGUGCCCAGUCGUGGGGGAUAACGCAGCGAAAGCUGUGCUAAUACCGCAUACGAUCUAUGGAUGAAAGCGGGGGACCGUAAGGCCUCGCGCGAUUGGAGUGGCCGAUGUCAGAUUAGGUAGUUGGUGGGGUAAAGGCCUACCAAGCCGACGAUCUGUAGCUGGUCUGAGAGGACGACCAGCCACACUGGGACUGAGACACGGCCCAGACUCCUACGGGAGGCAGCAGUGGGGAAUUUUGGACAAUGGGCGCAAGCCUGAUUCAGCAAUGCCGAGUGCAGGAAGAAGGCCUUCGUGUCGUAAACUGCUUUUGUACGGAACGAAACGGCCUGGGUUAAUACCCUGGGCUAAUGACGGUACCGUAAGAAUAAGCACCGGCUAACUACGUGCCAGCCGCCGCCGUAACAC